rnacentral:lncRNA from 1 species
CUCAGCUGCAUAAAAAACACAUAAAAUUAUAAAAUACAGCUUUAGGACACAUGUUCUGCUCUUACCUUGAAUGACACGUUCCAAAAUGGCACCCUGUUCCCUUUAUAAAGGGCCCAGGUCAAAAGUAGGGCACUACAUAGGGAAAAGGGUGCCCUUUGGGACACGGCCUUUGUGUAAUGUCAUGAGAAGGGUAGGACUGGGACAAUUAACUUGGGAUUGAUGACAUGCGCACGCAAAGUGAGGGGAAUGAAAUAAAAGGCUACAUUUCCUCACUAGAUGGAAAACGGGAGGGUCGUGAGAAAAGUUAAUUUAAUCUUCUUUUGGAAAAUAUUUCUCGCUAACCAAAAAAAGAAAUUGCAUGAAUGUGAUUAAUUUGAGUGAUCUGGGUUAGCUACAGGGUUAGUGUUGAUUGAAAUGUAGGCUACCUUAUAAGUAUGAUACAUAUGUCUAGACGGGCUUUUCACCCGCUUCCCUUUUCACUUUGAAAUGGAGGAUUAUAUAGAUCAGGCUGGAAAAACAUGAAUUUAAUACAUAUACAUUCCAGACGGAAAGGCAAUCAACUGGGAAAACACGAACGGUUAAAGGUAUAUCCUUUCUAUAGUUAGUGACUGUACGUCUGUGGGGCUCCUCGUUCCCUCCUAUGUAGGGGAAUAGAGGAGGGGUGAAUAGAGAAGGGGUGAAGAGAGGAGGGAUGAAGAGAGGAGGGAUGAAGAGAGGAGGGAUGAAGGGGUGAAUAGAGAAGGGGUGAAGAGAGGAGGGAUGAAGGGGUGAAUAGAGAAGGGGUGAAGAGAGGAGGGAUGAAGGGGUGAAUAGAGAAGGGGUGAAGAGAGGAGGGAUGAAGGGGUGAAUAGAGAAGGGAUGAAGGGGUGAAUAGAGGAGGGAUGAGUAGAGGAGGGAUGAAGGGGUGAGUAGAGGAGGGAUGAAGGGGUGAAUAGAGGAGGGUUGAAGGGGUGAAUAGAGUAGGGAUGAGUAGAGGAGGGAUGAAGGGGUGAGUAGAGGAGGGAUGAGUAGAGGAGGGAUGAAGGGGUGAGUAGAGGAGGGAUGAAGGGAUGAAUAGAGGGGUGAAGUGAUGAACAGAUGAGGGAUGAAGGGGUGAGUAGAGGAGUGAUGAGGGGGUGAGUAGAGGAGGGAUGAAGGGAUGAAUAGAGAAGGGGUGAGUAGAGGAGGGAUGGAGGGGUGAGUAGAGGAGGGGUGAAUGAGUGAAUAGAGAAGGGGUGAAUAGAGGAGGGAUGAAGGGGUGAACAGAGGAGGGAUGAAGGAGUGAAUAGAGGAGGGAUGAAGUGGUGAAUAAAGGAGGGAUAAAGGGAUGAAUAGAGGGGUGAAGUGAUGAACAGAUGAGGGAUGAAGGGGUGAGUAGAGGAGGGAUGAAGGGGUGAAUAGAGGAGGGAUGAAGGGGUGAAUAGAGGAGGAUUGAAAUGUCACCGUGCCAACAGUAAACUGUUUAAUCUACAGUGUUUUAUGAAUGACAUAUACAUUGCAAUCCCCCGAACCUCUCCCAACCCUCCAACUCAAAACCCACUCACAGUGCAGAGGUAGGCCCAUUCAGGCUUGCAGUGGAGUAGUAUAGACUAUCAAUCAGACCUGGCUAUGUCUCACCAUGGAGAAGACAGGCCAGAGUAGCCUAUGGAUCAGACCUGGCUAUAUCUCACCAUGGAGAAGACAGGCCAGAGUAGCCUAUGGAUCAGACCUGGCUAUAUCUCACCAUGGAGAAGACAGGCCAGAGUAGCCUAUGGAUCAGACCUGGCUAUAUCUCGCCAUGGAGAAGACAGGCCAGAGUAGCCUAUGGAUCAGACCUGGCUAUAGCUCACAGGGUAGGAAUGCCUAUGGUUCAAGCCUGCUUGACUGGCCAUCCUUCUCUCUGGAGAAACAAAGGCAGCCUAUAGCUAUAGCAGCCUGCGUUUCAGGGCAGGUCUAGCGAUCCAUUCUUCACAGUGAGGCCACAGUAUAGCAGCCUGUGGUUCAGGGCAGGUCUAGCGAUCCAUCCUUCACAGUGAGGCCACAGUAUAGCAGCCUGUGGUUCAGGGCAGGUCUAGCGAUCCAUCCUUCACAGUGAGGCCACAGUAUAGCAGCCUGUGGUUUAGGGCAGGUCUAGUGAUCCAUCCUUCACAGUGAGGCCACAGUAUAGCAGCCUGUGGUUCAGGGCAGGUCUAGUGAUCCAUCCUUCACAGUGAGGCCACAGUCUAGCAGCCUGUGGUUCAGGGCAGGUCUAGCAAGCCAUCCUUCACAGUGAGGCCACAGUAUAGCAACCUGUGGUUCAGGGCAGGUCUAGCAAGCCAUCCUUCACAGUGAGGCCAGAGUAUAGCAGCCUGUGGUUUAGGGCAGGUCUAGCAAGCCAUCCUUCACAGUGAGGCCACAGUAUAGCAGCCUGUGGUUCAGGGCAGGUCUAGCUAACCAUCCUUCACAGCGAGGCAGCCUCCCUAGCUACAGUAUAGCUCACAGUGGGAUAGAAAUGAAGGCCACAGUAUAGCAGGCUAUGUUUCAGGGCAGGGAGGCUGGCAGACCAUCCCUCACAGUGACUGAGCCUGGCACCGUAGCCUUGGCUGGGCACCGUGCCUCACCACAUUAACAAAAGUGGAAAAGUGCCACUGAAUCAGGGGCAGGGCUACUCACUGAGACACAUCAUACAUCACCCCUGGAGGAGAAUAUAGUGACUGGCUGUCUCAACCCGCCACGGACUACAUGUGGUAAAUACAUAUUUAUGAUAAUGCCAA